rnacentral:rRNA from 1 species
AUUGAACGCUGGCGGCAGGCCUAACACAUGCAAGUCGAACGAGUGGCGGACGGGUGAGUAAUGUCUGGGAAACUGCCCGAUGGAGGGGGAUAACUACUGGAAACGGUAGCUAAUACCGCAUACGAACGGAUGCGCCCAGAUGGGAUUAGCUAGUAGGUGGGGUAACGGCGCACCUAGGCGACGCACUCUAGCUGGUCUGAGAGGAUGACCAGCCACACGGGAACUGAGACCCGGUCCAGACUCCUACGGGCGGCAGCAGUGGGGAAUAUUGCACAAGGGGCGCAAGCCUGAUGCAGCCAUGCCGCGUGUAUGAAGAAGGCCUUCGGGUUGUAAAGUACUUUCAGCGAGGAGGCGUUACUCGCAGAAGAAGCACCGGCUAACUCCGUGCCAGCAGCCGCGGUAAUAC